CCCUGCCAUUUGUACACACCGCCCGUCGCUCCUACCGAUUGGGUGUGCUGGUGAAAAUAUCGGAUUGGCUCUUUUCGGUGGCAACACUGGAUGGAGCCGAGAAGAUAUUUAAACCCUCCCACCUAGAG
rnacentral:rRNA from 1 species